AUAGCUCAGUGGUAGAGCGCGACCUUGCCAAGGUCGAAGUCGCGGGUACUCUGCCGUCACGCA
rnacentral:tRNA from 1 species